rnacentral:tRNA from 2 species
GUCUGUGUAGUAUACUAAUUAUACUG